CCCUUAGAUGUUCUGGGCCGUACGCGUGCUACACUGAGUGGAUCAGCGGGUCAGGUUGCGCGAAAGUGUUUCCUAAUCUUGAAAUCCGCUCGUGAUGGGGAUUGACGGUUGCAAUUUUCCGUCAUGAACGAGGAAUACCUUGUAAGCGCGGGUCAUCAUCCCGCGCUGAAUACGUCCCUGCCCUUUGUACACACCGCCCGUCGCUCCUACCGAUUGAGUGGUCCGGUGAGGCUUUGGGAUCUGAGCAAAGAGAGCGUUUCGCUCGUUUUGCCCGGAAAACUCAGUCGAACCUUAUCAUUUAGAGGAAGGAGAAGUCGUAACA
rnacentral:rRNA from 1 species